UACGUAGGGGGCUAGCGUUGUCCGGAUUUAUUGGGCGUAAAGAGCGUGUAGGCGGCCUGGUAGGUCUGCUGUGAAAACUCGAGGCUCAACCUCGAGAUGUCGGCGGAAACCAUCUGGCUAGAGUCCGGAAGAGGAGAGUGGAAUUCCUGGUGUAGCGGUGAAAUGCGCAGAUAUCAGGAAGAACACCUAUGGCGAAGGCAGCUCUCUGGGACGGUACUGACGCUGAGACGCGAAGGCGUGGGGAGCGAACAGG
rnacentral:rRNA from 1 species